AAAAAGACAAAUCCUGAGUUUCCGUGUCCAACGUUUAACUGUCCGUCUUAUAUGAAUUUUUUUAUAAUUAGUAUUUUUAUUGUUGUUAGAUGAUAAAACAUGAUUAAUACUUUAUGCGUGACUUGUCUUUUUAAUUUUUUUUUCAUAAUUUUUUGAAAUAAGACGGACGGUCAAACGUUGGACACGGAAACCCAGGGUUUGUCUUUUU
rnacentral:pre_miRNA from 1 species